rnacentral:rRNA from 1 species
UUCGUUGGGUAGGGGAGCGUUCUGUAAGCCUGCGAAGGUGGCCUGUGAGGGUUGCUGGAGGUAUCAGAAGUGCGAAUGCUGACAUAAGUAACGAUAAAGCGGGUGAAAAGCCCGCUCGCCGGAAGACCAAGGGUUCCUGUCCAACGUUAAUCGGGGCAGGGUGAGUCGACCCCUAAGGCGAGGCCGAAAGGCGUAGUCGAUGGGAAACGGGUUAAUAUUCCCGUACUUGGUGUUACUGCGAAGGGGGGACGGAGAAGGCUAUGUUGGCCGGGCGACGGUUGUCCCGGUUUAAGCGUGUAGGUGUGUGUUCCAGGUAAAUCCGGUUCACUUUAACACUGAGGCGUGACGACGAGGCACUACGGUGCUGAAGCAACAAAUGCCCUGCUUCCAGGAAAAGCCUCUAAGCAUCAGGUAACAUCAAAUCGUACCCCAAACCGACACAGGUGGUCAGGUAGAGAAUACCAAGGCGCUUGAGAGAACUCGGGUGAAGGAACUAGGCAAAAUGGUGCCGUAACUUCGGGAGAAGGCACGCUGACAUGUAGGUGAAGUGAUUUACUCACGGAGCUGAAGUCAGUCGAAGAUACCAGCUGGCUGCAACUGUUUAUUAAAAACACAGCACUGUGCAAACACGAAAGUGGACGUAUACGGUGUGACGCCUGCCCGGUGCCGGAAGGUUAAUUGAUGGGGUCAGCGCAAGCGAAGCUCCUGAUCGAAGCCCCGGUAAACGGCGGCCGUAACUAUAACGGUCCUAAGGUAGCGAAAUUCCUUGUCGGGUAAGUUCCGACCUGCACGAAUGGCGUAAUGAUGGCCAGGCUGUCUCCACCCGAGACUCAGUGAAAUUGAACUCGCUGUGAAGAUGCAGUGUACCCGCGGCAAGACGGAAAGACCCCGUGAACCUUUACUAUAGCUUGACACUGAACAUUGAGCCUUGAUGUGUAGGAUAGGUGGGAGGCUUUGAAGUGUGGACGCCAGUCUGCAUGGAGCCGACCUUGAAAUACCACCCUUUAAUGUUUGAUGUUCUAACGUGGACCCGUAAUCCGGGUUGCGGACAGUGUCUGGUGGGUAGUUUGACUGGGGCGGUCUCCUCCUAAAGAGUAACGGAGGAGCACGAAGGUUGGCUAAUCCUGGUCGGACAUCAGGAGGUUAGUGCAAUGGCAUAAGCCAGCUUGACUGCGAGCGUGACGGCGCGAGCAGGUGCGAAAGCAGGUCAUAGUGAUCCGGUGGUUCUGAAUGGAAGGGCCAUCGCUCAACGGAUAAAAGGUACUCCGGGGAUAACAGGCUGAUACCGCCCAAGAGUUCAUAUCGACGGCGGUGUUUGGCACCUCGAUGUCGGCUCAUCACAUCCUGGGGCUGAAGUAGGUCCCAAGGGUAUGGCUGUUCGCCAUUUAAAGUGGUACGCGAGCUGGGUUUAGAACGUCGUGAGACAGUUCGGUCCCUAUCUGCCGUGGGCGCUGGAGAACUGAGGGGGGCUGCUCCUAGUACGAGAGGACCGGAGUGGACGCAUCACUGGUGUUCGGGUUGUCAUGCCAAUGGCACUGCCCGGUAGCUAAAUGCGGAAGAGAUAAGUGCUGAAAGCAUCUAAGCACGAAACUUGCCCCGAGAUGAGUUCUCCCUGAGACUUAGAGUCUCCUGAAGGAACGUUGAAGACGACGACGUUGAUAGGCCGGGUGUGUAAGCGCAGCGAUGCGUUGAGCUAACCGGUACUAAUGAACCGUGAGGCUUAACCUUACAACGCCGAAG